rnacentral:rRNA from 1 species
GUCCACGCCCUAAACGAUGAUCACUAGGUGUUGGCGGAGCGAUCUGCUGGUACCGUAGCUAACGCGUGAAGUGAUCCGCCUGGGGAGUACGGUCGCAAGAUUAAAACUCAAAGGAAUUGACGGGGACCCGCACAAGCGGUGGAUGAUGUGGAUUAAUUCGAUGCAACGCGAACAACCUUACCUACCCUUGACAUGUCCGGAAGCCCGCUGAAAGGCGGGGGGUGCCUGAAAGGGACCGGAACACAGGUGCUGCAUGGCUGUCGU